rnacentral:rRNA from 1 species
AUGCCUUUCUACCACACGUCCCCAAUGCAGCCGCCGCCGUUCUACUUCCAUGCAGUUGCAGUUCCCGUGCCGUCGUCCGCGGUGCCGGUGCGCUCUGUGUGGGCGUGGAACUUCAGGGAGGAAUCUGACAGGCUAUGCCACUUGGCCUGGAACGCCCGGUACGUCGCCGUCAACGUGCACUACCCGGGCCUCGUCCACCACGCGGACCGGAACCACAACAUACUCACCGUGGAGGAGCGCUACGCCGUGGUGAAGGCCAACGUGGACGCGCUCAAGCCGCUCCAGGUGGGCAUCGCGCUCCGCGACGGCCACGGCCGGCACCUCGGCGCGUGGGAGUUCAACCUCCGCGACUUCUGCCCCGUGUCCGACCCGCACGACGAGAGCUCCCUCGCGUACCUCGCCGGCCGCGGCCUCGACGUGGACAGGCUCCGCGUCCGCGGCCUCAGCGCCAAGAUGCUCAGGGAGAAGCUGCUGCGUUCCGGCCUGUUCGACCCUCGGUGUGCUGCGCGAUCGUGGGUCACCUACGCCGGGGCGUACCACAUUGCGUACCUCCUCAAGAUCGUCACCGGCGGCGCCCCGCUGCCGCAGGACAUGGCCGGGUUCGUCGGCGCCGUUCGGCGUUACCUUGGCGUCCAGGUGUACGACGUCGCGAGGAUGGCGGCCGAAUGCCCGGGCAUGCCGCUGGGGCUGGAGCGCAUCGCUGAUCACCUCGGCUUCCAUCCGCCGUUGGGGAGCCCUCGCCUCGCGGCUGCCGCGGGCGUGCACGCGCUGCAGGUCUUCAUGCGGCUCAAGUACAGAGAGUUGGGCGGCGACGUGGAGAGACACCGAGGCCUGCUUCAUGGCCUGCACUAG